UCCUUGUGCCAGCAGCCGCGGUAAUACGUAGGGUGCGAGCGUUGUCCGGAAUUACUGGGCGUAAAGAGCUCGUAGGUGGUCUGUCGCGUUGUUCGUGAAAACUCACAGCUUAACUGUGGGCGUGCGGGCGAUACGGGCAGACUAGAGUACUGCAGGGGAGACUGGAAUUCCUGGUGUAGCGGUGGAAUGCGCAGAUAUCAGGAGGAACACCGGUGGCGAAGGCGGGUCUCUGGGCAGUAACUGACGCUGAGGAGCGAAAGCGUGGGGAGCGAACAGGAUUAGAUACCCUGGUAGUCCACGCCGUAAACGGUGGGUACUAGGUGUGGGUUCCUUCCUUGGGAUCCGUGCCGUAGCUAACGCAUUAAGUACCCCGCCUGGGGAGUACGGCCGCAAGGCUAAAACCCAAAGGAAUUGACGGGGGCCCGCACAAGCGGCGGAGCAUGUGGAUUAAUUCGAUGCAACGCGAAGAACCUUACCUGGGUUUGACAUGCACAGGACGCCGGCAGAGAUGUCGGUUCCCUUGUGCCUGUGU
rnacentral:rRNA from 1 species